rnacentral:snRNA from 1 species
GUCAAGGUGGUUGUCAUUUGGAAUUAUAAAGAGAAGAUUAGCAUGGACUCUGUGCAAGGAUGGCAUGCAAAUUCAUGAAGUGUUCCAUAUUUUU